CGACAUUUCUUAUAGGAAAUGGAACUCUUCAUAAGUCUGGCCAUGGAGGCAUGGUAUCCGUAACAUCCCCCAAAGGAGCUAAAGAAGAAAUCCACAAUUUACCAUGAGCAUUUCUCGUCUGAAGAUUGCCAAGCGAUUCCUCCAGGACAUUCCUCAAGAUCAAUUUCUGUUCAUCCACCUUGUCCUGGGAGGGACAUCAAUGGGUUUCCAUGUCCUUUGGCUUCUGGUUGAGUUCACUCAGUGGAGAACCCUGGCAAGAGGCAGGAAAAGGGGAGGAAGGUGAAAACCAUCCAUUUCUUGGAGAAGUGCCACGGUGGGGUUGCAAGUCCCAGGAUCAAGUUUUCGAUGUGUCUCUUUUUCCCGUAAAGUGGCUGAAAUCUGAAGCUGAAUCUGCAAGUGUCAUGGAGUCAUUGAAUCUCACAGUCUCAACUGAUAAAAGUUAUUAAAGGUCGUCUGGUUCAGCCUUCU
rnacentral:lncRNA from 10 species